GCUGAAAAGACAUAAAGGCAGUCAGCCCAGUGGUGUUUCUGGAGAGGGAUUCCUUCAGAAAUGGAGAAGACAGAAAGCUGUGGAGGCAGAUAUAUGCAGCAUGUUCGAGUGAGCAUGAUAACCACAAGUGUGUGUCGAACUUUUCAUGACCUGAUGACUGUGUUUCCCAAUCCUGAUCCUGGAGAACCCCAGCACUGCACGGUUUUGGUGUCUCUCUUAUCUGCCUUGGAGUCUUCACUGAUGAGCUGAUGAGUUGAAUCAGGUCUAAAAUAUCAAGCUCAACAGCUCACUCAAGAGCCAACCCUCACAAACCUUCCUAAAAACUAAAAGAGCUAUUACUGAGUCUCAGCGAAUCUUGCCAUGAUCAGCUCUUCCCAGAAGAGAAGGAAGACCAAGGAAAUGAUAUGCUCAGGAUGAGAAAUGAAG